GACGAACGCUGGCGGCGUGCUUAACACAUGCAAGUCGAACGGAAAGGCCCUGCUUUUGUGGGGUGCUCGAGUGGCGAACGGGUGAGUAACACGUGAGUAACCUGCCCUUGACUUUGGGAUAACUUCAGGAAACUGGGGCUAAUACCGGAUAGGAGCUCCUGCUGCAUGGUGGUGGUUGGAAAGUUUCGGCGGUUGGGGAUGGACUCGCGGCUUAUCAGCUUGUUGGUGGGGUAGUGGCUUACCAAGGCUUUGACGGGUAGCCGGCCUGAGAGGGUGACCGGCCACAUUGGGACUGGGAUACGGCCCAGACUCCUACGGGAGGCAGCAGUGGGGAAUAUGGCACAAUGGGCGGAAGCCGGAUGCAGCAACGCCGCGUGCGGGAUGACGGCCUUCGGGUGGUAAACCGCUUUCGCCUGUGACGAAGCGUGAGUGACGGUAAUGGGUAAAGAAGCACCGGCUAACUACGUG
rnacentral:rRNA from 1 species